CCGUAUAACCACGAUUGACUUCCGUAAAAGUGGUGAGAAGAGAGUGUGAUGCGGAUAAGAAGGAAAGGGACUGUUGAAAGAGACUCUGAGAGCGAAGAGGCUCUUUUGCUUUAACUACAACACUCCAAUAGCUCAAGUGAAACUCGCCUGCAGUCGAUUUGUUCUCUUGAUUUGACGAUGAAGGUCUCUAAUCUGACGAUCCGUACUAUACCAUUUAAAAGGUAAUCCCGAUGUUAAAAGUUUUCAUCUUUUUAAGUUUUUGGCUUCUGGGUUUUAAGAGGUAAUCCCGAUCUUAAAGUUUCCUCGCCUAUCUGCUUGAUUAGAAACUUGAAAAACAAACAUAUUCAUAAGAAGCUUGGUUGAGACGGAGGAAGAACAUAGGGACGAGAAGAUCGAGGAGGACGAAGAUGGAACUGGGUAAUCGAUUUUCAAGUCCAGUUUGUUCUAAUCGAUUAAAGUUUUAGAUUGUUUGUUUUUGUGGUUUAAUUCGGAAUUUCUUUCAGGUCUUAAAGAUACUCUAGAAUGGUUGUCUCCAUUGUCCGCAGAAACAAAAAAAUAAGAGUGCGAAUUGGACCUAGGCUUUUCAGCGACAAAUGGCUCAUUUUGAGUUACGAUCGAGCAAAUGUCAGAGGUACCGGGCAAAAUGUCAAAGGAAGGCUUAAUUUUGUGCUCCUCUUAUGAAGGUGUUUCUUGACGAUGGGAAGAAAGAGAGGCUCAUCAAUCAGGAUUAGAAGCUUCCCAACCGGCUCUAACUCAAUAUCGGGUGCUUGGUCCUUUGAUAAAUGGAUGCUCAUGGAUUGAAUUACAACCACUCACUAGCCGAAAGCAUCAGUUGGCUAAUAUUUGGUAGGAGCACAAGGAUUCCCUAGCUGGAGCACUACUUUUGGCCUUAAGGCAACAUUGUUCUGGAGAAAUUUGAGAGGAGGUGGCAUGAAGUAACAAACCAAGUAGGGGAACAUAUCUACCAAUUCUGUGAUGCUGCAGUUCGACUAUGCCAUUUUAAAAACAGUUGGUCUACGUUGAUGCAGUUGCAUAAUUUACUGUUCCUGAGCUGAACAUCGCUGACCAACCAAAAUGGCGGAAAAGAAGUGUUCCGAAGUGCUUUAGAUCAAGCUGGAGAUAGAGUAGGUGUUGUUCAAUUCUAUGGAAAGCACUGUCUCUGGAUUUUGAGCAAUGGAAGAACUGUAUGCGGUAGUGAUUCUGUUUGGAAGGCCUUGAUUUUUUAUGCCAAAAGUUGUGAAUGCUUCUUUAAUGCUGAUCAACACAAUGAUUUGGCAAAGCCAUAGUAGACGUAAAGAAAAUGUUGGACCAAUUUCAUGAGUUGCCCAAUGCCAACAGCAUAAUUUUCAAAAACGCUAGAUGCAAGGUGCUUUUUAGUAUUAACUUUUUGAAGUUAUUCAAGAAUCUGAUGUCGGCCUGUUCUUCUACUGAAGCAGUCAUGUGGCUAAAGACCCAAGAAGCGCAGUGUACAGAGAAAGUUGUAGUAGCUCUUGACUAAUCUUGAAGAAACUUAAGGUUAAAUCUCAUUGUUUGCACAACAGACUAUUGGAAAGAAAAUGAGAUAAUGUUAAAGGUCUGAGAUGUAUUGCCUCUAGAGGAUAUCCCAAAGUUGGGAUAUCUCUUAGAUACACACAUAAAAUCAUUUUUAUUGAUCUCGCAGCAUCGCGCAAGGAGCACUAUCUAGUAUUACUUGUAAAAACUGAGAGGCGAAUCUAAUUGGUUCAAAGUAGUUUAUUUUACAAUCCU